GACGAACGCUGGCGGCGUGCUUAACACAUGCAAGUCGAACGAAGAGCGAUGGAAGCUUGCUUCUAUCAAUCUUAGUGGCGAACGGGUGAGUAACGCGUAAUCAACCUGCCCUUCAGAGGGGGACAACAGUUGGAAACGACUUCUAAUACCGCAUACGAUCUAAUCUCGGCAUCGAGGAUAGAUGAAAGGUGGCCUCUACACGUAAGCUAUCACUGAAGGAGGGGAUUGCGUCUGAUUAGCUAGUUGGAGGGGUAACGGCCCACCAAGGCGAUGAUCAGUAGCCGGUCUGAGAGGAUGAACGGCCACAUUGGGACUGGGACACGGCCCAGACUCCUACGGGAGGCAGCAGUGGGGAAUCUUCCGCAAUGGACGAAAGUCUGACGGAGCAACGCCGCGUGAGCGAUGACGGCCUUCGGGUUGUAAAGCUCUGUUAAUCGGGACGAAAGGCCUUCUUGCGAAUAGUGAGAAGGAUUGACGGUACCGGAAUAGAAAGCCACGGCUAACUACGUG
rnacentral:rRNA from 1 species